rnacentral:rRNA from 1 species
UACAGAGGUCUCAAGCGUUGUUCGGAUUCAUUGGGCGUAAAGGGUGCGUAGGCGGCGCGCUAAGUCGGGUGUGAAAUUUCGGAGCUUAACUCCGAAACUGCAUUCGAUACUGGCGUGCUUGAGGACUGGAGAGGAGACUGGAAUUUACGGUGUAGCAGUGAAAUGCGUAGAUAUCGUAAGGAAGACCAGUGGCGAAGGCGGGUCUCUGGACAGUUCCUGACACUGAGGAGCGAAAGCGUGGGGAGCGAACAGG